rnacentral:rRNA from 1 species
AACGAACGCUGGCGGCAGGCUUAACACAUGCAAGUCGAACGCCCCGCAAGGGGAGUGGCAGACGGGUGAGUAACGCGUGGGAACGUGCCCUUCGCUUCGGAAUAUUCCCGGGAAACUGGGAGCAAUGCCGGAUACGCCGAAUUGGGAAAGAUUUAUCGGCGAAGGAUCAGCCCGCGUUAGAUUAGGUAGUUGGUGGGGUAAUGGCCUACCAAGCCUACGAUCUAUAGCUGGUCUGAGAGGAUGAUCAGCCACACUGGGACUGAGACACGGCCCAGACUCCUACGGGAGGCAGCAGUGGGGAAUCUUGGACAAUGGGCGCAAGCCUGAUCCAGCCAUGCCGCGUGAGUGAAGAAGGCCUUAGGGUUGUAAAACUCUUUCGCCGGUGAAGAUAAUGACGGUAGCCGGAGAAGAAGCCCCGGCUAACUUCGUGCCAGCCGCCGCAGUAACAC